UACAGAGGUGGCAAGCGUUGUUGGAAUUACUGGGCGUAAAGGGCGCGUAGGCGGUUCCGCAAGUCCUGUGUGAAAUCCCCGGGCUCAACCUGGGAACUGCCUUUGUGACUGCAAGGCUUGAGUGCGGCAGAGGGGGAUGGAAUUCCGCGUGUAGCAGUGAAAUGCGUAGAUAUGCGGAGGAACACCGAUGGCGAAGGCAAUCCCCUGGGCCUGCACUGACGCUCAUGCACGAAAGCGUGGGGAGCAAACAGG
rnacentral:rRNA from 1 species